AUCAUUAUAUCCAUUUUCCUUUAUUCUACGAAUUAAAAGUCAAUAUUAUAACUAAAAAUAUACAUUACGAACGCAUGCUAUUCUACGUUUCAUUCUCUUGUGUUUUGUGUGCUGUAGCAGUCGAAACAUGUUUCAUUUCAUGUCAACAUAUCAACCAUCGCUUCAAUGAUUCGAAUUCAUUAUUAACAUAUGUGUGUAUAUCAAAAUGCAUCUUCACGGUUACGUUUGCCUUGCUCUCUACAUUGUCUCACUAAACGUUACGUGAAUCUAAAUAUAUAAGCGCUCUAAUUAACUUGCAAUUGUUGGAAGGUUUUCAAAUGUAGAGCAAAAUACAAAGUAUGAAACAUCAAUAAAAUGUGUGCUCUUAUCGGUCACAGUAAGAUGUUUUGUGUUUCCGUAUGUGUGUGUGUGGGUGUGUGUAGGUGUGUAGACCCGCAUCCAACUGCAUCACUUUUGCGUCUAACGUCGACAAGGUAUCCGCGAUUAAUUAUGUGUGAAAUAAUUGGCUUUUGUUAUGUUGUGUUGUAGUAACAGUUUUGCUUCGAACUUAUUUUGUACGAAUUUUUGGAAGAACCAGAGAUUUUUCCCACGAUUGAUUAUUCGCAGCCUAAACAAACCGUGGACUGCGUUAUAUAUUCUAUUGUGUUUGUGUGUUUCUGUUUCGAGGCAGCAAUAGUAGAGUGUUUCAUUCUGACCAAAUCUAACCAAAUUUAGCUGAUCGUGGUUGACAUCUGUUGGGACAAUGGUGCAUCGAAAUGCGCCGGAACCGUGGUCAGAGCGUCCGCACUUGUGCGUGUCGUCGAGCAGUUCUGUGUGAGAAUGGGAAGACAGAAUUUGAGUAUUGCGCAAUACAAUUUUCAGCGGCAUAUGGUACAAUAUGACGAAAAACAGGAUAUGAGGAUGAUUAGCAAAAUAUGUGUUCAGCUUGUCCCUGUUUUUGGGCCUUACGGUUCUGAAUUAUGCAUUCAUUAAAAAGUAUGAUGUUGAUGAUAAUGGCCCGUCUCAUAUCCCUACAACGUGACUUUCAACACUUUUGGCUGGUUCGUCACUUUUACUUCCAUUUUUUCGGAAGAAUGUCGGGAGUGAGAAUUCAACUCGUGACCUUGAGCGUGAGAGGUAUGAAUGUUACCACUACGCCAGAUCGCCUCCACCUAUACAAAAUAAGGAAUUCAGUAUCAUAAAAUGAAAUAAAAACGAGCUGGUUCUGUGGCAGACAUGCGUUUCUCUCAAUUGCAUAUCACAAAUUGAUUAUGAAUUCGAGGAUUUAGUGUGGAACACAUUGAAGUGGCAGUGACGACUUUUUACUCGAUGAUCAAUGAAAUUAUAGAGGAGGAGAUACCAACAAGACGAAAAAGGAGAAAUAUAAACACAAAAUAUCUGAUAUCUGAAUCAAAACAUAAAGAAUCUAAAAACUAAAAAACAGAAGACACAUAAAAUUUAUAAGAAAUACAAAUCUGACGCUAAUCUUGAAAAAUAUCUGAACUUU